rnacentral:rRNA from 1 species
CUUUGCCUACGGGGGGCAGCAGUGAGGAAUAUUGGUCAAUGGGCGGGAGCCUGAACCAGCCAAGUCGCGUGAGGGAAGACGGUCCUAUGGAUUGUAAACCUCUUUAGGCGGGGAGCAAUGCCGGGCACGUGUGCCCGGAGGGAGAGUACCCGCAGAAUAAGCAUCGGCUAACUCCGUGCCAGCAGCCGCGGUAGUACGGAGGGUGCGAGCGUUAAUCGGAAUUACUGGGCGUAAAGCGCUCGUAGGCGGUAUGUCAAGUCAAGGGUGAAAUCCCCGCGCUCAACGUGGGAACUGCCUUUGAAACU